CUUAGCCAGUUGGGCUGUUCACAGAGGAUGAUUGUAGAUGAUGCAUAUAGUAUUGAUUUGAAGAAAAUUAUUGAACGGGCUCAAAAUGAAGAGGUUGAGUCAAUUGUGUUGAAAAGGUAUGGAAGGGAUGCAUACUGAAUGUUCAGGCUACUGUCAAAGGAUGGUUGUUUUCAUGACACAG